rnacentral:lncRNA from 1 species
CACAGCAUUUUCUUUUAAAGCACAUUGCCCUUUCUUCCACUCCUUUUUCUCUUUGAGAAACCAUCCAUGGCCUCAUUCUAGAUUUCAAAUGCUAUUAUCACAUGAUGGUAUCGAGUACGUAUGGCAGCUGCAACGACAACGGUGAUGACGAUGAGGAUGGUGAUGAACAUGCAAAUGAACGAUGAUGGUUAAACUUGUAGCAGGUGUUUAAUCAGUUGGGCAACUAAAGACCCUUUGGCAGUUCAUCUAGAAUGGGGGAACAUUAUGCCUCAAGCAUAGUAGUAAACAAGCUUAACCAGUUAAGUUAUUUCUCUCUACAUUCAAAGGGAACAUUCAUCUGUUUUCUUUCUACUUGUAUGCUUGAGCUUAUUGUUUUUCCCAUUUUGUAGCUCUUUUUUAAAAUAUGUUUUGGCCUCAAAAAACAUCAAAAUGAGGCCGUUUCUACUGAGAGUUUUUCUAUAUGUUUGGCAAUAUGUUGUACUUCUUUUGUUCUCCAUUCAUUAAAAUGGAUUGAACCCUUAAUUAUAUAUUUAUGGGUUGAAAGCAUGAAAGAAUGUGCAGAGUCACUUGAUCAUUAAUUCAUUGCUAGCAAAAUGAGAUGAGAUAGUUUAUGAGCUUCGAGUCUCAUGAUUUGGCUCUCUAUGUUGCUAUGUAUUGCUUACCCCAAUUUUCAAAUAUUUGGAAUAUUAAAAUCUUACUUUAAGGAAGUUAGUUCCUCAAAAAAAAGUUUUUAAAGUGUUGUCCUCAAAUAUACUGAUAUGAUCUCUCAACAAUGAAAGAUAAAAGUUUUACCCUCUUUCUCCUUAUAGAGUCGUGUAUGGUUCAUAAAAGUAAAUGUCUUGACUGUACAUGGACAAACAGUUCCCACCAAGAGGCAACAUGAAUUGCCACAUAAAGUGGUGUCAUAUAUACCAAUAGGUGACCUAUAUACAAUAGAUCAGAGGUUCUAAUCCCACAAAAAGUAAAAUGCUACUAUCAUCUCUUGAUAGGCGAAUCAUUUAUGUUUCAUAUCCAACAUGAAUAUGUCUAGUUUUAUUUUAGAUUUUUUUUUUUCAUACGUUUGGACCAUUAAAACCCAACUCCAUUCAUGUCCAUAUACGAACAGAUAUAGAUACCAAGCAAUAAUUUUUUAUAAAAAUAAAUAUUUAUAGCAUAGAUUUAAACUUUCCUCCUCCUCAGAAUAAUUUGAAGCUUUCUAAAUUUAGAGAAAUUAUGCAUAUUUUCUUUCAUAAAGAUAUUCAGCCAUGUAACCGGUAGAGUUAUGAUAAGGUUAAAAUAGGCUCCAAUCCUUGUACUUUUUAUAAAUUUCAAAGUUAAUCCAUCUUACAUUUCAGAUUUGUCAAGACUUUUUAACGACAAUUAAACUUACAUUUUUUAAAUCUGAAAACUGACUAAAUUCCUUAAAAGUAGUAUUCAAAAACUAGAAUUUUAAAAUUUAGAUUUAGACUUCAAAAUUGUAUAUAUUGAUGUAACAUUCAUAAUACUUUCUUAAACCCUUGGAGACUUGGUUAGUAAUGAUUUUGAAAUCCUGAAAAAUAAUUUUGGAUUUGACAAAUCCAUGUUUUUAUACAUUUUUAACAAAUAUUAGAACUAAUAUAUGCAUUUCAUUCUCACCAUUUCCAUAUUAAAGAAAAUCCAAAUGCAAAUUUUCAAGGAGAUGUUAACCUUAAUCAUAAGAAGGAUUUUGAUUCUCAAUAAUUCUCCAGGAUACCAUUACGCCUUGAAAUAUAAUAAUCAUCAACCAAAUCAUGAGAAAAAGAAAAAGGAUAAUAUGCAAAGUUAUAUAAUUUUGAAAAAAACAGGAUACAGAAAUUUUAAUGAGCCAACUUCAAACUAUCAGAUAACAAAAGGCAAAUGAACCAAAACCUCGUAAUCCCCUAAAUGUGAAUUGAAAUCGUACCAACAGAGGUUCUAGAUGAAGAGAAACUUCAAACAAAAAUGAAAAAUCUAAGAAAUUUGCUUCAAUAGAAGAAACCAAGUACUUUUCCACCAACAUUCUUUCUUCUAGCUUCUUCAUGGUCCAUGAUGCCAGCAGAUGUGGUAAGCACGAUAUAUCCAAACUGCAAUAAGAAGACACAUAGAUCCCAUAAUAUUCUAUCUCAUUUGAACUGAUUGAACCUUCCAUUAACUUAUGUCACCCAUAAAAUCUUAUCUAGUGGACUAUGAGAAUAAAUGCAAGACAUGUCACUCGACCAAAUCAAAGUGUGCUUCCACCCAUAUAUGAUAGCAUAAAUCAAAAGUGUCCAAGCUAACCUGUCUGGAAGGAAGUAGCCUAGCGGUCCAACCCUCGAUCUCUUUGACACCGACAUCAAAACGAGGACUAAUCACCCCACACUUGUUGAGUCUCCCAUUGAGUUCAACCACAAUCUUGCCAGCUCUGUGAUCAUCAACAUACUCAAACUCUCCAAUGUAACCUAAAAAAUGGGAAUCAAAAGGUUAAAUGUAUCAGCAUUUUCGUAUCAAUUAUAGAUUUUUUUUUUUUAAAAAGAAAUGUCGGAGAGCAAACCAUGCUUUUGCAUGACCAAAAGGAAUUUGAUGAUGACUUUUGAGGAAGGCCUGAUCAUAACCUGUCGUUUGCCCCUCUUUUCUGCAUUAUACAUGCUCUUGAGUGCAUCGUUCAAAACGCUGACUCUCACCAUUCUUCCAAAUCCAAGUUGCUGCAAAAUCAGAUUUAAAAAACCAAGCAGCUCAUUAUUGUAACUUGUAAACAUUAAUUUCUCACAACCACACCUCUUCCUAUUCUCUUACAUCAUUCAAACCAAAACUCAAUUUUGUUUUGCUGAUAUUAAAAUUAUUCUAACCAUAAGAACAUGUAGAAACAACUGAUACUUUCUCAGAAGACAACAAAAAAAAAAUCUUAUCAGUUUGGUUUUUGGGUAGAGAAAAUCAAAUAAAAACCAUAAAGAGAUGUUGGAUCUAAAGUUGGAAAGGAAAACAAAAGUUUACCUGGAACCAAAAAUGGCGGCCGCGUCUCCGUGUAGUUUGAGAAGAGUGAAAAGAGUUGAAGAGAAUGUAUGUUUCUAGGGCUGGAAGUUGGCAGUUGAGUUUAAAGUGGAGCAUGUAAUCUAAACUCUAUUUAGGCCCAUUCAGAUGUUUCAAAAACCCAAGUCCGAUUAUACUCCACCCCACCUACUAUUUCAUCUAUGGAUAUAAUCCAGCAUUUCAAAAAAAAAACAAAAAACAAAACAAAACUAAUAUAUAUUUUUAAAAUAAUAUAUAAUAAUAUAAUAAUACUUUUAUAUAAUAAUAAAAAAUCUCUCUCAUUUUCGAUAUUUAUUAGUAAACUCAUCUCUCCCAGAAAAAUCAAAUUAUCCUAUGCGGUGAAGGAAAAUUUAUAUUAAUAAUAAAAUAUCAAUGUAUUCGUAAUUUAAAUUUUAAUAACUAAUUUUCAUGUAAGAAAAACUAAAACAAAUUAGGAUUUUACUAUGCAUUUAGGGUUCAAUAAGAAUGUGUCCCUUCAUAUUUAAAAAAAAAAAUUAAAACACUAAAUUAUUUUUUCUUAAUAAUAUCUUAACCCUAAUUAAAUAAAUUUAACAAGUAAUAAUAGUAAUGCAGUGGUUAUGGGUUUGUUUUGUUUUCAACUAGAUUUAUGAUUUUAUGAAAAGGGUGAUGUUAGGAUUUAGGGUUUAAAAGAAUCAAAGAUUUUAAGAUCUAAGGUUUAGAGUUUUAAAAUUUUAUUUAAAAAAUAGAUUGAUUUAUUAGUUUUAGAGUUAAAAAUAGUCAUAAGAGUUAAUUUAAUGUUUCUUGAUGUAUUAUAUUAUUCACAUACUCUAAAAAAAUAUGAUGUUGCAUGAUAUUAUUGUAUGCUUAAAAAAUGAUUUUUUUAGGAUAAUAUUUAUUCCAUUUUCUUUCUUCUUAUUCUUUUCUUUUAUAUCUUAAAUUAAUUUCAGGUUUAACCUUUCUCUCACCACCACCAUAAUAGGCAACUUCUCCAUUCAAUUUCCUUUUAAAACAAUCUUUUUUUUUCUUCCUUAAUUUUCUCAACAAUAAGUUAAGAACAAAAGGGGGGAAAUAUGGUAUGGUAUCAAUGUGAGGAUUGCGGUGACAACUUGAAGAAACCCAAGCCACCAAACUACUUUAAGAAUUUGCUCUGCUUCAAAGGUUUUAUUUAC